AUGAGGCUGAUGGAACCAUUCCUAGACAAGGGCAGAAAUGUUACCACGGACAAUUUCUUCACAUCGCUGUCACUUGCGCAUAAACUUCUUAGCCGGAAAACCACGAUCCUCGGCACAGUCAACAAGAUUCGCCAGGAAAUCCCUCAAUCCGCUAGACACACAGAUCGCAAUGAAUUCACCACUCAGGUGUUUUCAACCACUGCUGCUACGCUGACGGCGUAUGCGCCCAAACGGAAGAAGACCGUCUACAUUCUUAGCAGCAUGCACAGCGUGAUUCAGACUGAUAAUACCACCAAAAGGAAGCCAAACACUGUCACCCUUUACAACACCACAAAGUGCGGCGUGGAUGUGAUGGACCAGAUGGUGCGGGAGUACACUGUCCGCACAGGGACACGGCGCUGGCCAGUUGCCGUGUUCUAUAACAUGAUUGACAUGGCAGCACUGAAUGCACAUGUGCUGUAUCAAGCAUGCACCGGAAGGCAGGAAAGACGGGUGGACUUCCUGGUGGAGCUUGCAAGAGAGUUGGCUAACUCUCAUAUGUGUGCGAAGAAGGCAAGAAAAGAACAAUUGCUUCGGACACAACCCUCCACACCUAGCCCUGGAAAAAGAGCCAUGUGUCAGGUCAAACACCAAUGCAAGAACAAUCAUGCCACUGUGCGAUGUGUUCACUGCUACAGAUACACAUGUGGUAAAUGCAGACGGGAGAUACCAUGGCAGUGCCAGGAUUGUGAGUGAUUGCUGGAAUGUACUCACUCACUUUUUAAUAUUAUUUGUAAAUAUGUGUACAAAUGGUUGGUUUCUUUAUUUUAUUUUGUACUAUUUUUAUCAAUAAAUCUCAGCAACAAAGGAAAAAAAAACAUGUGUGUUGAUUUCUCCCUAAGAUGGCAAAGUGAAACAUAAGUUUCCUUGAAGUGGCUCAGCAUGGCCCCACAUUGUUUACAUAACAAAAGCAACUGUUCACAGCUGAUUAAGGAUAUUAGCCUAAAGCCUUCCAGCCCAUCGGCUGUCCUGUGGGUUUUAUAGGUAGAAAAGCCAAAUGGCUGCUCUCGGGGACUUCUAGUGUUAAAUAUCGCAACACCCUUUCCAAAUCUUGGUUGGCCCGCUCUGUCUGACCAUUGCUCUGGGGAAGGAACCCAGAAGAAAGACUCACAUUCGCUCCUAGCAAUCGACAAAACUCCUUCCAGAAUUUGUAAAUAAACUGAGGUCCUCUGUCAAAGACCACGUCUAUAGGGAGGCCAUGCAUUCAAAAGACAUGGUCAAUGUCAGUAACCGCUGUCUCCCUGGCAGAAGGAAUUUUAGGCAGGGGAAUAAAAUGGGCUGCCUUCGAGAACCGGUCCACCACAGUAAGAACCACCAUGUUGCCCUUGGAGGGUGGGAGAGCUGCAACAAAAUCUAGUGCAAUAUUUGACUAGGUUCUCGAAAGGACAGACAGCGGCUGAAGGAAACCCACCGGGGGCUGAUUGGAAGUCUUACCAACAGCGCAAACAGAACAGGCCAAAACAAAACUAUGGACAUCACGAGCCAAAGAGCCACCAGAAUCGUUGUUUAACCAGAAAAAUAGUACGAUUCACUCCUGGAUGACAAGCGAUUUUAGAAGAGUGACCCCAGCAGAUAACGUUGGACUGUAACUUCUCUGGUAUAAAUAAACAACUUGGUAGGAAACCGAACGGAGGGGUUACCCAUUGUAAGGCAUUUUGAACCUUCGAUUCGAUCUCCCAAGUAACCACAGAAAUGACCAGUCUCACUGGCAUGAUGGAACUGGGAGAGGAUGGACAUUUGGAAUGAUCAAA
ensembl:lncRNA